rnacentral:rRNA from 1 species
GAGGCAGAUGGAAUUGGUGGUGUAGGGGUAAAAUCCGUAGAGAUCACCAGGAAUACCCAUUGCGAAGGCGAUCUGCUGGAACUCAACUGACGCUAAUGCGUGAAAGCGUGGGGAGCAAACAGGAUUAGAUACCCUGGUAGUCCACGCCCUAAACGAUGUAUACUAGUUGUUGCUAAGCUAGUCUUGGCAGUAAUGCACCUAACGGAUUAAGUAUACCGCCUGGGGAGUACGGUCGCAAGAUUAAAACUCAAAGGAAUAGACGGGGACCCGCACAAGCGGUGGAGCAUGUGGUUUAAUUCGAAGAUACGCGAAGAACCUUACCCGGACUUGAUAUCUAACAAAUCAUCUAGAGAUAGAAGAGUGUCUGCUUGCAGAAAUGUUAAGACAGGUGCUGCACGGCUGUCGUCAGCUCGUGUCGUGAGAUGUUGGGUUAAGUCCCGCAACGAGCGCAACCCACGUCAUUAGUUGCUAACAGUUCGGCUGAGCACUCUAAUGAGACUGCCUUCGUAAGGAGGAGGAAGGUGUGGACGACGUCAAGUC